AUAGCUCAAACAGAAACCCCAUGAAGUAAUCAAUCAAAGUUUGGGGCAAUCUUAUUUUUGAGAAGCUGAGAUGGUGACAACUAUGAGGUUUGGGCUUCAAAAAUAUUAGAAUUUGUCCAAAGAUGGAUUUUUUUGGCAUUGUUAGCUCCUCAAAGAGAUCAGAAAUUAGCAGCACCAAGAAACUGCACACAUUAUAUGAGCUUCAUUCCUUGAAAUAUCCCUGUAAACGUUACAGCCUGUAAUGUAUUACUGUGGACUCUGUACCAUUACUGUCGAGGACGAACCGCAGCUAGCAACCAUUAUGGAAUGACAAUCAUGGGUUUUGAAUUUCUUGUAUCAUGUUAUUUUGUAAAUACUAAAUCAUGUUUUGCUGUGCCAAAGUUCUAUCUCCAACCAAGGAAUCCAUUAGAUAUGGUGCAAAAUGAUCUUGUUUUAUAAUUUAUCAGGGAUUUUUGUAUGAACAAUGUGAAUUGAAGAGGAA